CCUACGGGUGGCUGCAGUGGGGAAUAUUGCACAAUGGGGGAAACCCUGAUGCAGCAACGCCGCGUGAGUGAAGCAGUAUUUCGGUAUGUAAAGCUCUAUCAGCAGGGCAGAAAAUGACAGUACCUGACUAAGAAGCCCCGGCUAACUACGUGCCAGCAGCCGCGGUAAUACGUAGGGGGCAAGCGUUAUCCGGAUUUACUGGGUGUAAAGGGAGCGUAGGCGGCUGCGCAAGUCAGAUGUGAAAGCCCGGGGCUCAACCGCGGGACUGCUUUGGAAACUUUGGAGCUAGAGGGCAGGAGAGGUAAAGGGAAUUCCUGGUGUAGCGGUGAAAUGCGUAGAUAUGAGGAGGAACACCGGUGGCGAAGGCGGUUUACUGGACUGUAAUUGACGUUGAGGAUCGAAAGCGAGGGGAGCAAACGGGAUUAGAUACCCCAGUAGUC
rnacentral:rRNA from 1 species